AACCCAAUAGGUUUCUCGGAGCAUUCGCAAGAAAACAACGCGUUAUAUUACAUCGGAUCUCGUAAUAACUCCGUUAAAAUCAUAAGCUUUGUUAUUUGGCCAAAACAAUUUAAACAGCAUCUAUCGUUAACUCGCAGCCGGCUACUUUUGUCUCAAGCUCUCUUCAUAUAAUGGCAUACCGUAAACAGAGAUGAGAAAAGAGGGAAAAACAAGGAGGGAAAUGAAGAGAAUCUCUAUAUUUAGAACUCUUCUUCUGGCAUGUACAAUCGUGUUUCUCAAUUUCGUUUCGAGCGAAUGCAAAUGUUGUGGAUAACAGCUAUUACGUAGUAUCUUCUUCUUUUUCAUUCCCCGACGGAAUACUAUCCGCAGUUAAUUGAAACAGCGAUAUCCAGACGCUUUGGAAAUCACCUCAGAUACUCUCGGAUCACGUAACAGAAGUGAACCUAAUUCUUGUCGUAAUAAACGCCGUUUCAUGAAAUAAAUUGAACGAAUCUUUUUACGGGAUUCCGGACACGAUGAAAAGUGGCUCGAAAGUAAAAAGUGACAAAGCUUUGGAAAGGUGAUUUUGGAUGCCUUUCGAUUCAGCAGUCGCUGGAAGUUUAAAUAAAUCCAACAGCCAGCUUGUACGAGACAUUAUGAUAGACAAUAGAAACCAAAAGAGCAUCGAAAAGAAGGGAACACUCGGACGUGUUAAACGGAUCGCCCAUCAAACGAAAAUUAAAAAAAGAGAAAGCAGAACGAGCGCCAAAGCAAGCUAAAACAGAGAAAAUCAACCAGUAGAGACAAACCAAAGGCUAAGAGAAGAAGAACAGUUGCGAAAGAUUUGAAA